rnacentral:lncRNA from 1 species
GAGGAACGGUCGUCAGGUCGGGCGGAUCGCUCCCACCCCCUUCCGCUCCGAGGCCUCGAGCCGCCCGAGCCUUCUCUCCGUCUCCGCCCCUACGUGCGGGGCGGUGUGUUUAAGGGCGGGUCGGUCCACCCCUUCUCGCUCCGCGGCCUAUAGGCGCCCGAGCCUUCUCUCCGUCUCCGCCCCUACGGGCCAGGCGGUGUUUUUUAACUCCGCCGGCCGGCCGGUAAGCCGCUCAGGGUGAGAAGUUAGGGAACCGCGGGGUGUCGCUUCCGAGGGGUAAGGCACGUCGCUGUGUUUUUCUAAGUCAUCUCCUUAGGUUCUUGAAAGGUCAACUUGUAUUUUUUCUUUUUUGGUUUUUCGAGACAGGGUUUCUCUGUGUAGCCCUGGCUGUCCUGGAACUCACUGUGUAGACCAGGCUGGCCUCGAACUCAGAAAUCCGCCUGCCUCUGCCUCUGCCUCCUGAAGGCUGGGAUUAAAGGCGUGCGCCACCACCGCCCGCUCAACUUGUAUUUUUUAAUGAACAAGCGAUAUUUGUGCUUAUUUGUGGAAUAAAGUGCUAUAAUUAAGUAGACGCACUUAAACUUCCACCGCCUAGUCCUUUCAAGGACUCUGGCAACCGUUGUGAGUGUACUCCAUGGAAUUCACAGCCUUCAUCUAAGUAGUAUAUUUCAUAUUACACAAAGUACGUUUUUAUAUUACUUGUGUAGGGUAAACCAGCAGAUAGGAGAUGGUUAUUGUAUUGGUUAGGUUUUUGUUAACUUGAAUGGAGUCACUGUCUUCAUCAGACGGCCCAGUGGGCAAGCCUAUGGGGACAUUUUCUCCAUAUCUGUAUCCGGUACCACCGAUGGGCUAGCUUAUAUUAAGAAAGCAAAGUGAGCCAUGGGACCAAGCAAGCCAGUAUGUGGUGUACCUCCAUGGCCUCCAUGGCUUUUGAUUCCUUGGUGGCUUCAGGUUCCUGCUUUGAGUUCUGUGGGACCCCAUGAAAAUGGCCCCCUUUCAUAUUAAUGUGACCAUUGUUUAGGUCUUCUUUAUGAAGACAUUUCUAGGAGCGUUGGUCCACAGCAGACUUCCUGGUACUCUGGAUCUUAAAGUGUUAUGCCCCCUCUUCAGUGAUAGUCUGGUUUUUUGCUAGUCUUUGGUUCUUGUGGGGAGCAUUGUCGGUCCAAGUGGUACAACUUCUUCUAAGGCAGUGGUUCUAACCUCUCAAAGCUCCAACCCUUUAAUACAGAUCUUCAUGUUCUGAUGAUCCUCGCAAGUAUAAAAUUAUUGUUACCACUACAUAACUAUAAUUUUGUUACUGUUAUGAAUAAUAAUGUAAAUAUCUGAUUUACAGAUCGUGAGCCAUAGGUUGGGAAUACAUAAAUCUAGUCUGUUAAUUCUGUUUUGAUGUUUCUGCGUCUAUGAUUUCACAGGUAACAACGUAAUUGCAUAAUAUAUAUUAUCUAUUUGUGUUAAAACAUUUUAAAAUUUGUGUUAUACAUUUUUUUUAAAUUUUCCUAUGUGUUCUACAAUUCUUCUCUCGUUCAACAUGUUCAUGUUGUCUCCACUUUUAAAAUAUUUAAUUCUUUUCCCCGGCCCUUUGGCCCUUUCUAAAUUCUAUAUCCUUCCUCAAAAUUCUUUAUUGUGUCACAAUUAUCCAUUCUAUCCCACAAUUAUUGCUUCUCUUACACUCUGCCUUCUCUCAUAGAGAUCCUCAUAACCAUUUCCGGUUAUCUCCCACAGUUCUCACUUUUUAAUAUAAUUGAUUAGAAGAAUCAUACCUUUCUUGUUCCUGAGAUUCUAAGGUUUUCCAAGAUCGGAGGCAGUAGGAGGUCUCUCUCUCUCAGGAUCACGGCCAGAGAACAGAGAAUUGGUAUGCCUUGGGUAUAAAGACAAUAUCACUAGUUCCACAGCGGGUCAGAGAACAUAUAACAUACCAGGUAUUUUAGAUACUGCUGGGAAUACAAAAGUGCUGAACGAAGGCUUUGUUCUUUGGGAAUCUGUAUUCAAAUAAUUUAAAGAUCAACUAACAGUACACUUCAUCUAAAGAGAUACUCUAAAUCAUGUUUGAUUUUAAACAUUAUUUGAUAGAGAUUGAUGGGGGGGAGACUGAUAGUGAAAACUUGAUUGAAGAAGAAAUUUCUGUUUGGAGCUAUUUCAAAUACAUUCAGGUUUCACUACAGAUUUGUACAGAAAAGGUCUUGUAACAAAGAAAUAUUUGGUUUUAUGUGUCUGUUAGCCAUGACCAUGGUGCUUUGAAAAGUUCCCCCAGCUUUGUUAGAUGAUGGGGGUUUCCUAAGCAAUUAGCAUUCCAGAAUCGAAAUAACUUUCUACAACUUGUUUUCUUAGAUUCCUGACCAUCGUGAAAGACCCUUGAUAAGAAAUAUUUAUUGCCCUGUGUGGUAAGAGCAAGCAUUUGAUCCCAGCCUACAGGAGGCAGAGCAGUGCCAACUGUGGACCACAAAGACACUUCAGCCCCAUUCUUCCCCUUUGUUCUGCGUGUAACAGUUCGGUGGGGAGAAGAAGCCGGAGAAGGAGCUAGGAUGAACAGCAACUUCCAGCACUCUGAAAUCUAGCCAAAAGAUUAGUACCAGUUUGAUAUGUUCCUGUGAUUCAAGUUCAUGGAUUCCUCAGCAAUUGGAUCUUACUGUAAAGAUCUCUACAGAGAAGCGACUGCAUCAUUGACUGCAUCCCAGAAGUGGAAAGUAGUAGCUUCCCC